rnacentral:rRNA from 1 species
CGUAGGGUGCAAGCGUUAAUCGGAAUUACUGGGCGUAAAGCGUGCGCAGGCGGUUGUGUAAGUCUGUCGUGAAAUCCCCGGGCUCAACCUGGGAAUUGCGAUGGAGACUGCACGGCUAGAGUGUGUCAGAGGGGGGUAGAAUUCCACGUGUAGCAGUGAAAUGCGUAGAUAUGUGGAGGAACACCGAUGGCGAAGGCAGCCCCCUGGGAUAACACUGACGCUCAUGCACGAAAGCGUGGGGAGCAAACAGGAUUAGAUACCCUGGUAGUCCACGCCCUAAACGAUGUCAACUAGUUGUCAGGUCUUAAUUGACUUGGUAACGCAGCUAACGCGUGAAGUUGACCGCCUGGGGAGUACGGUCGCAAGAUUA